GAAAUGUGAUAAGUAGUGUGAAUUGCAGAAUUCAGUGAAUCAUCGAAUCUUUGAACGCACAUUGCGCCCCUUGGUAUUCCAUGGGGCAUGCCUGUUCGAGCGUCAUCUACACCCUCAAGCUCUGCUUGGUGUUGGGCGUCUUUGUCCCGCCUCCGCGCGCGGACUCGCCCCAAAUUCAUUGGCAGCGGUCCUUGCCUCCUCUCGCGCAGCACAUUGCGCUUCUCGAGGUGUUGCGGCCCGCGUCCAGAAAGCAAUCGUUACCGUCUUUGACCUCGGAUCAGGUAGGGAUACCCGCUGAACUUAAGC
rnacentral:misc_RNA from 1 species